rnacentral:rRNA from 2 species
AACGAAGUUACACAGAGGAAGUUUUCGGAUGGAAUCAGUAUAACUUAGUGGCGGACGGGUGAGUAACGCGUGGGAAACCUGCCCUGUACCGGGGGAUAACACUUAGAAAUAGGUGCUAAUACCGCAUAAGCGCACGGAACUGCAUGGUUCUGUGUGAAAAACUCCGGUGGUACAGGAUGGUCCCGCGUCUGAUUAGCCAGUUGGCAGGGUAACGGCCUACCAAAGCGACGAUCAGUAGCCGGCCUGAGAGGGUGAACGGCCACAUUGGGACUGAGACACGGCCCAAACUCC